UCCCUCUUUCUCUCUCCUUUCCUUCACCGGGUGGCACAGUCGGGAGGACAGGAGGAGACAGGGAGGCCGAGGGAGGCGGAGAGGCCGGCGAGCCGCUCCUCUCCCGCCGGCCGGCGCGCGCCGCUGCCUCGCCUCCUCUCCCGCCGACUGGUGCGCGCCGCUCUCUCCUCUCCCGGUGGCCGGCGCGCGCUGCUGCCUCGCUCUCUCUCCCACCGGUCGGCGCGCGGGGAUCCCGGCGAGCCGCCACGACCUUGCGCACGCCGCGGGGAUCCAGUCACGCAGGCUGCCAGACUUGGAGAAGUCGAAGGCCGGUGGCAGUGGCACCUUCAGCUCGCCGAGCUGCCUCGCCCUCGCCUCUCAUCGGUGAAAUAGAUUAGUAGCAGAAUUAGUGUGUUGGCACUGAAAAGCGACUGAUUCCAUUAUACGGAUGAUGAAUUGCAUAGCAUUGGUGAAACAAAUCAGUAGUAGCGGAAUUAGUGGUUUUGAUACUGAAAAGCGAUGGAUUGAAUGCUGCAAAUGAUGAUGAAUGUGUGUUUGAUUUGAUCGUGCGCACUACAACAAAAUGAGCGCGUUUCUCUUAAGACGAUACUGUAGUCGUCUCAAUUUUCGAAGCCACCCUGAAAAUAAAAAUAAAGACGUUCGGUGAGACGCUUUCUAUAUCGUCCUACAUUUACAUCUAUUUUUAUUUUUUUGCAAAAGAAAAAAAUCCUGAAAAGAUCGUCAAGCCAACAAAAAAGAAAAAAAAAAUCCUGAAAACCACCACGCCCACGUCCUCUCUGUGCGGCGCAAAAGACUCUGACCUCGUCAUCCCGUCCAGAUCUGUCGUCGGCGCUUGGUGCCGCCGCCCCUUGCCCACCGCCAGCUCGUCCUCUCCCCUACUAGGCCAGCUCCGCCUUGUCCUCCUCAGGCCACUGCUGCCAUCUCAUCCUCGGCCGGGGCGCCGCCGCUCGCCAGCCCUCAAUUGGGUCGCCGCUGGCUAGUCCACCAGGCCGCCGGCAGCCCGUCCUCGCCCAUUGACAGCCGCCGGUUCCCCGUCGCCGCCACAUCUAUCUUCGAUCGUCUUCGCUAGCUGCCUGCCGCGGCGCUGGUUUCACGGCUCAGACGGCUCCGUCGGUGGCAGGGAUUUGCUAUGGCAGAAAGUUGUUUGAUGAUUUGGUUAGUAAAAAUCUAUUAUACAGAGGUAGAUUGUAAAGAAGAAAUAUAUCAUGCUGUGAAGAAGGGAGGAGCUCAAGCAAGUGUUAGCAUAUGAUUCAUUCUAAAUUUCUUUUUAGAGAUGCAAAUCUCAUUUUUUGUAUGAUUGUUGACCUGACAUGUUAAUAACAAUUGCUCUUAAUAUAAUUACCUUCUCAUUGAUUCAAA